UAGCACGCUGACUGGCACUUGGAGAGUGGCAAGUCUUCCAGUAUGGGGAGCAAAACAGCUAUGGGUCAAGUCCGAUAUCUUUAGGAGAAGUCUUAUUGUGAGGGCGAGUUAUAUAACACCAUAGGACUGGCCGUCCCGUAUGAAAAGAUUAUAUUAGAAUUGAAUGAAGCUUUGUUUAUAUAUUGAUAAUGACAGUAUAUAUAUCGUGUCUUGACUAAUUGCGUGCCAUCAGUCGCGGUAAUACGUAAGAUACUAGUGUUAUUCAUCUUAAUUAGGUUUAAAGGGUACCCAGACGGUCAAUAUAGCUUAUAAAAUGUUAGUACUUGACUAGAGUUUUAUGUAAGAGGGCAGUACUUGAGGAGGAGAGAUGAAAUUUCGUGAUACCAAAGGGACUCUGUGAAGGCGAAGGCAGCCCUCGAUGUAAAAACUGACGUUGAAGGACUAAGGCGCAGAGAACAAACAGGAUUAGAUACCCAAGUAGUCUUUGCAGUAAAUGAUGAAUGCCAUAAGUUAGAUUGAUCAAUUAUAGUCUAGGGUUAGUCUAGCAAACUAAUGCCCUAUGAUAUAAUUCAAAAUAUCUGGUCUAUAAAUGAAAGUGUAAGCAUUUCACCUCAAGAGUAAUGUGGCAACGCAGGAACUGAAAUCACUAGACCGUUUCUGACACCUUAGUGAAGUAUGUUAUUUAAUUUAUGAUCUGCCAUAACGC
rnacentral:rRNA from 1 species